GAUGAACGCUAGCGGGAGGCCUAACACAUGCAAGCCGAGCGGUAUUUGUUCUUCGGAACAGAGAGAGCGGCGCACGGGUGCGGAACACGUGUGCAACCUGCCUUUAUCUGGGGGAUAGCCUUUCGAAAGGAAGAUUAAUACCCCAUAAUAUAUUGAGUGGCAUCACUUGAUAUUGAAAACUCCGGUGGAUAGAGAUGGGCACGCGCAAGAUUAGAUAGUUGGUGAGGUAACGGCUCGCCAAGUCAAUGAUCUUUAGGGGGCCUGAGAGGGUGACCCCCCACACUGGUACUGAGACACGGACCAGACUCCUACGGGAGGCAGCAGUGAGGAAUAUUGGACAAUGGGUUAGCGCCUGAUCCAGCCAUCCCGCGUGAAGGACGACGGCCCUAUGGGUUGUAAACUUCUUUUGUAUAGGGAUAAACCUACUCUCGUGAGAGUAGCUGAAGGUACUAUACGAAUAAGCACCGGCUAACUCCGUG
rnacentral:rRNA from 1 species